CCCACGUGACCAAAGGGGGCGGGGCUUCCCCAUUGGCCCCUCCCACUUCCCCAUUGUCCGCGCGGGUCCGUGUCCGGUGGCGCCAUGAGCCCCCCCCCCGCACUGCUCCUGCUGCUGCUGCUGCUGAUGGGAUUGGCCGCUGCAGAGGGAGAUUGCAGCUCCUGCCUGCCGGGCCCGGGAACCAAUCGCAGCUCUGGUGGCCGCUGACAUCAUCAUGACGCUGCUCAUCGCGGGCGGGGCCUAUUGCCUGGGAGGGCGGGCCAGAGAGGCGCGCCCAAGCCCCGCCCCCAGGAGGUGGAGCCGACCUAUCAGGAGCUACAGGGCGCACGUGGAGACGUCUACAGCGAGCUCAAGCGAUAGCCCCGCCCCCUCCCCCUCCCCCCACACCGGGCUCUGGCCCCUCCCCC